CGAGACGAUAAACUAGCAGCAGCGACCGUCCGAGGGCCCACCUGUUGUACUGAUCCGUGCCAGCCUCCCUCAGCGUCAUUAAAAGGUGAUGACAUUGGAUUGGAGAGCCAAUCUUUGGAAGACUGGCAACAUGAAAGAGAGAAUGAGCACUCUUUGGAGUUUUGAGCUGGAAAAUCUGCUUUGACUCCAGGGUGUCUGAUCUACUUGCUGAAUAAAGUAUUGAAAAAUCCUUUUAA